UACGUAGGUGGCAAGCGUUGUCCGGAUUUACUGGGCGUAAAGAGCGAGCAGGCGGUUUCUCAAGUCAGAUGUGAAAUAUCCCGGCUUAACCGGGAGGGGCCAUUUGAAACUGAGAGACUAGAGUGGAGCAGAGGACAGUGGAAUUCCCGGUGUAGUGGUGAAAUGCGUAGAUAUCGGGAGGAACACCAGUGGCGAAGGCGACUGUCUGGGCUUUAACUGACGCUGAGGCGCGAAGGCCGGGGGAGCAAACAGG
rnacentral:rRNA from 1 species